UACGAACUGUGCAAACGUUAUUCGGAAUUACUGGGCGUAAAGGGCGCGUAGGCGGCCGCCUAAGUCAGACGUGAAAUCCCUCGGCUCAACCGGGGAACUGCGUCUGAUACUGGGUGGCUUGAAUCCGGGAGAGGGAUGCGGAAUUCCAGGUGUAGCGGUGAAAUGCGUAGAUAUCUGGAGGAACACCGGUGGCGAAGGCGGCAUCCUGGACCGGCAUUGACGCUGAGGCGCGAAAGCCAGGGGAGCAAACGGG
rnacentral:rRNA from 1 species